rnacentral:rRNA from 1 species
AGAGUUUGAUCCUGGCUCAGAUUGAACGCUGGCGGAAUGCUUUACACAUGCAAGUCGAACGGCAGCACGGGGGCAACCCUGGUGGCGAGUGGCGAACGGGUGAGUAAUACAUCGGAACGUGCCCAGUCGUGGGGGAUAACGUAGCGAAAGCUACGCUAAUACCGCAUACGAACUCUGGUUGAAAGCGGGGGAUCGCAAGACCUCGCGCGAUUGGAGCGGCCGAUGGCAGAUUAGGUAGUUGGUGGGGUAAAGGCUCACCAAGCCCACGAUCUGUAGCUGGUCUGAGAGGACGACCAGCCACACUGGGACUGAGACACGGCCCAGACUCCUACGGGAGGCAGCAGUGGGGAAUUUUGGACAAUGGGCGCAAGCCUGAUCCAGCCAUUCCGCGUGCAGGAUGAAGGCCCUCGGGUUGUAAACUGCUUUUGUACGGAACGAAAAGGCCUGGGUUAAUACCUCGGGCUCAUGAC